UACGUAGGGCGCGAGCGUUGUCCGGAAUUAUUGGGCGUAAAGAGCUCGUAGGCGGCUUGUUGCGUCUGCUGUGAAAUCCCGGGGCUUAACCCCGGGCGUGCAGUGGAUACGGGCAGGCUGGAGGCAGGCAGGGGAGACUGGAAUUCCCGGUGUAGCGGUGAAAUGCGCAGAUAUCGGGAGGAACACCGGUGGCGAAGGCGGUUCUCUGGGCCUUACCUGACGCUGAGGAGCGAAAGCGUGGGUAGCAAACAGG
rnacentral:rRNA from 1 species